UGUCAUGACUUCUGAGCUGUUUGAAAGAGAAUGUUCUCAGAAUCAAGUAAUCAAGAAAACUGACAAACUAUCAGCUAGACUGAACAAGAAAAAAAGAGAGAAGACACAAAUUAACAGCCAUUUGGAAUGGACAGAAUGAAACAGAAGUCAAAGAGCUGUCUACACGUCCUUCCCAAGCUAUAAUUAAGAUGGAAGCUCAUUUGCCAUUCUGAGGAUUGGUGCAAUCAAGCAUAUGACAGCAAGAUUUUGGAACAUUUUUAUCAGUUUUGGAACCACAGCUCCUCCAUGGCCAAAUUUCUCUUUAUGUCUCAGGUUUCAGAGCAUGGCCUAAUAUUUCCCGUACAGACAGGCCGCUCCGCUGCCCUUCUGAUUCAGCUGACCACUGUGCACUGUAGCGACGUGCAAGGGGUAGGAGUGGACACAUUCCAGCUCGCUGGGGUUUGGAACGGCACCUCUCAUUCCCAGAGAAGGGAUUCUCUGUGGAGGCUGAGUUGGCAGUGCUCAAGCUUGCCUUGCGGUUGGCACGUAGGCCAUCAGCAAUCAUCUGAGUAUCAACCUGCCAAGCUGAGGCCGUCCUGGGGCACAGAGAUUUAUUGCUAACAGAGGAAAGAAAAGAAACCAUUUCCUUAAUUCUGCUUUGCAGGCCACUCUCAUGGAAAGGAACUCCCCUGCUGCCCUGAUCAGUUCAAUAUCUAACUCAUCAUGCCUGUGUUCUUCCCCAGCAGCUCAGGCCGGUCUGCUACCAGGAACAGGUGCCAAAUCAGAGUGUGGAAUUUUCCCAGCAGGCCCCAGGGUGUGUUGCUGCCAAGGCAACUGUGGUAGGGUUGGGGAAUAACUAGCGAACCACAAAUCCAGAAAAGGAAGAGGAGGCCUCCUUUUCGGCUUGGGCCAACUCAGAUGUGCCAGUAAAUAUGAAUUGGUUGGAUUUGACUUCUCAAUGAUACACAAUGAUUCUCUACCUGGACUAACACCACAGAGGAUGCCAUAGAAACUUCUGAGAUUUCGAUGAUAAAUAUAAAAAGUUGAAGCUUUGGGGAGCCCAAGCCAGGAAGCUGGAGACACUGUGGCAGAAAGUGAAAGAGGAAGAAGCCAUUCGACGUCUGUUUUUAAAAAUGUGUUCUGUCCCUCAGUCCGCCAAAAAGUCCUCAUCUCCUGAAGCUGCAAGAAGAGACAGAGCCCAGCCUGAUAAUCUGAGGACUGAACUUCAAAGGUCACCCAGCCAAAAUAAUCUACUCUGCCUGCCCAAGUGUGAAGCCUAGUGUGAAACCUACUCCAGAGGUGAAACCCCACCAAGAGAUGAAAACCACUUUGGGAAAUACCUUAUGUCUGAUAUUUUCUUCUUCAUUUUUUGAUAGGACUUUUUUUUUCCUGCUCAAAAGUGACUAUCUGGUAGUACAUUCCCAGAGGAUCCUGGCCAGGUAACAGAGAAGUCUGAAAGGCUACCUUGAGAUAAGGUACUAACAGCCUGUGGUAGCUUUAAUAGAAUAUUCUGGUUUAAAUAACAACCUUGAACAUCCAACUUAUUCAGAUUCAACAAACAUCUAUCGAGUAUUUACCCUCUGCAGAUAAGACAAGGCCAUGUAUUAGAUGUUUCCUCAUGUGUUAUAUCAUUUAGUGAUUACAACAAACAUCAAAGGUAGCAUCCCUACUUUACAAAGUAAAACACAGAUACUCAGAAAGGGUAAUUUAUUCACUGAAAGUCAAAGUGAGAUGAAUUCAAACAUAGGUCCUCUAACACCCAGGGCACAGACUGAUGAUGUUCAUGACCAGCUGAGUUUAUGAAAUCUCUUACGCUGUCUGUCCCUAAUCUGCCUAUACAUUAGCAAGGUGUAGAGAAGCACCAUGCUUCUGUCCAACAUAACAGGGUUAGAAGGUCACUUUUCUGCAUGUUUCUACAUUAUUUUCAAAACUGCCAUUCAUCUGCGUUUUCAAAUAAAUAUCAACAAAAUUA
rnacentral:lncRNA from 1 species